rnacentral:tRNA from 1 species
AUUAGCUCAGUUGGUCAGAGCAUGAUGCUAAUAACACCAAAGUUAUAGGUUUGAUCCCCAUAU